UUGGACCAUGGCAUAGGCAUUGAGAACCAUCAUUGGUGUGACAAUCCUUGAAAUGGUGAUCAUAUCUCACUUGUAAGCUAAAGAUUCCUAAUGUAAGGAAUGUGUGGUAGUUCGGGGUACUUAUGCAUCUAAUUACUACACACCUAGCCCAAAAAACCACAAACAUAAGUGUUAACACACCUAUAAACAUAAGCAUCAAUGAACCUAACCUAUUUACUUACCCACACAUCUAAUUGAUGCAUCUUCUUGGUGACCAUUCUCCUCUAAGGUAAAUAGUUAAACAUGUAUUAAUUAGACCGACUAGGUGCAAGGGGGAUAGGGGUUAAUGUGUUAGUAAUCACCUAACCUAUACCUUCAAUACACACCCUCUAACCUUCUAAAUCAUUGACCCAUAACCCAUAACAUCAUGAGAUAACCCCUAACCCACUAAUCCCUAAAUCCCUAAAAGCCUAGCCCUUUAUUAUUUCGAUAAAGUGUUGCAUUGGUUGUCCUUGAAUAGCCUCAUUGGUGAAAUUAAAAUCCACCUAUUUCUUUUAGAGUGAAAAAUAUCUAAGGCAAGGUAGUUAGUUUUCACCACUCUACAUCAUAACAGUGGAUUCCUUAAGUAGACAAUUAGAUCAAGAGAAUAUAGUUGAAAAAUUACAGGGAAUUUCAAGGGGAAUCAAAUUGUUUAAUUAAAACUAGUGCAGACAAGGGGAAUAUGACUAUUUAAUUAAAACAAAUCAUUGUGAUGGUCCCUGUGGAUGCUGACACAAUGUGAUUUAUGCCCAUUUCUCUGUGUGUGAUUUAUUCCUCAUCAUCUAAUUAGUGAUGUGCAUGAAUGGAUUAACAAGAUUCCCACUAUCCCUAACUACUAUCUAGAGAAACCAUGUCCAAGGGAAUGGGAUUGGCAUAAUUAGUGGGGAAAUAAAACCUUGUUGAGCUUGAGUCUAGUCCUAACCCAUUCAUAGCUUGGGA
rnacentral:ncRNA from 1 species